CCACACAUACCAGCCAGAAGUACUGCAGUAGUUUGGAAGAGUAAGCUGAUGAAGAAGUUUUGGAAUAAGCAGUCAUUUUUUCUACCAGAACAAAAAAACACUGCAAUCCACAAGAGACAGUUGAAAACUGCACUCCUGAUGAGAACUGGUAGAAAAAGGAUUCUACUUGCAAGCUUUGGAAGCCUUCAUGUAUUUGUACAACAACGUUGUAGUAUUUCCCUUUAAAAAGCCAUUAGAAUUAUAGGUUAAUGUUAGUACAAUAAAUUCUGUCACACAGCUUUGUAAACA
rnacentral:lncRNA from 1 species